AGUUGUUUAGUCGUGUGAACUUGUGAUGACAAAGAUGGUAACGCCAUUCCCUCUAAAGAAAGUUUUUAAAAUCCAAUAAAAGUACAUUCAACAAUCGACAUUGACAAAUGACAAGAAACAAGUAAGAGCUUGGUCGCACUCGCAAACCAUUCUCCAAGUGCUUGCUUGCGACUUUCCGAUUUGCCACUUGCUUCUUGCUUCUUGCUUCUAUAACUUGGGUUAUUGAAGCUUACACUCUAUAAUCAGAUUCAUCGACCUGUAAAUUUCUCUUCAAUUGUUUCUUUUCAAUCUUAAUCAAGAAGCCACAGAUAUGGAUUUGAUGAUACUUGGGUCAUUUUCACAAACCCACAAAUUUCCAACUGCUCUUCAUCUUCCCAAACUCAGAAUUUCUUUGGACUCUAGGCGUAAAAAAUGGCAUCUAUUGGACAGAGAUAGUAGUUUGAGGUUCCAGCGACAUCUAGUGGAGAAGAGCAUUGUAACUUUUGAAAAGGGUUCUAUUCUGCGCCAAACUUAUAAUAGAAGAUGUCUAAUAGUCACAUCCAGUGGACAACCGCUUGAAUCUGGACCUGAAGUUUAUGGUUCCAAGAAUCUUUGGAAUUCGAUUGGUACCUUUUUGGACGCCUUCUAUAGGUUUUCAAGACCUCACACUGUUAUCGGCACAGCAUUGAGCAUAGUUUCAGUUUCUUUACUUGCCGUGGAGAAGCUUUCUGAUUUGUCUCCCGUGUUUUUCACUGGAAUGUUGGAGGCCAUUAUUGCUGCUCUUUUCAUGAAUAUAUACAUCGUGGGCUUAAAUCAACUAUCUGACAUAGAGAUAGACAAGAUUAAUAAGCCAUAUCUUCCGUUGGCAUCAGGGGAAUUCUCUUCUCAAACAGGAAUCUUUAUUGUCACAUCAUUUGCUAUAUUGAGUUUUUGGUUGUGGUCAUAUGUCGGUUCAAGGCCCUUGUUCUGGGCUCUUUUUGUCAGCUUUGUGCUUGGUACAGCAUAUUCAAUCAAUCUGCCUAUGCUAAGAUGGAAGAGAUCUGCUGUUAUUGCGGCAAUGUGCAUCCUAGCAGUCCGGGCAAUAAUCGUUCAAAUUGCCUUUUUUUUGCACAUACAGAUGCAUGUUUUUGGAAAACCAGCUAUCUUCUCUCGGCCAGUAAUUUUUGCAACUGCAUUUAUGAGCUUCUUUUCAGUAGUUAUAGCAUUGUUUAAGGACAUCCCUGACAUGGAAGGUGAUAAAAUAUUUGGUAUUCGAUCAUUUACUGUGCGACUGGGACAGAAACGGGUGUUUUGGAUUUGUAUUUCACUACUUCAAAUGGCUUAUGCUGUUGCAAUUUUAGUUGGGGCUUCAUCUUCCUUCAUCUGGAGCAAAGUAGUCACGGUUGUUGGUCAUGCUCUGUUGGCUGCGAUACUUUGGAGAAGUGCCAAGUCCACUGAUCUCAGCAGCAAAGCUGCAAUCACGACUUUCUACAUGUUCAUCUGGAAAGAUUAGGAUCUCGACAAUAUCGAAAGGCAGCAGUUUAGCUUUGAGGAAUGAACAUCUCAUGAGUUUAGAACUUACUGCCAAAGACAUGCUUAAUCUUUUUGUACAAUGUGUAUAUGCUUAUCAAUUAUGCUGUGCAAUUCUGUGAACCAUCUGGAAAUGGUUAUUUUACCUCAUUGCUCGCCAUUUUUUGCUCGCCAUCCAUAUUAAAAAUUUACAAAGACACACAACGAGCUAUUUUAUGCAGAGUAUCUGCUGAUACCACUAGUGAGGUGAAUUAUGGAGCAUGAUGAAGAUAGUAUUGUUUUCCAGAUUAACAGGCAAUGUGUACAACAUCAUACCAUGACCAUCCCAAAUCCCAAGUGGACUAAUGUCUUAGCAUGGUUUGAAGGUUAGAUGUAUGCAACGUUACCCUUGUAGUUGUAAUAAUAAAAGAGGCUAUUUCUGAUUGAUCCCAUCAACGCAAUGUGUACAUUAUAAUUUCAUUUUUGGGUUGCGGAGAAGGAUUUGUAGAACAGAUGCACUUAGAACUACUUAACUGAUUUUGUGAAACCACUGCAAACAAAUAUUUUUUAUUAUGGUUGUUUUAGCCUUUAAGGAUUCAUAUUCAUGAA